rnacentral:misc_RNA from 1 species
GGGUAAUGUAGCUCACUAGAGCUUUGUACAGAGAGAGAGCAAAGGAGCUGAAUGGGAGCAUCUAAAAACACCAUUUCAGUUCCAUCUCUUGGAGUUCUUUGAUUUUUUAGACUUCUGUUUUGCUGCUUGGAAUGCCUGCAUUUUCUGUUUCUUCCGAGCUUCCUUUUCCGCCUUUGACAUCUUGGAUUUGGCUUUGGCUUUUGGAGACUUAUCCUCGAUCUCUGCCUCUCGUUCAAGCUCUCUUUCCCUGGCCUCAAGGUUUUUCUCCAAGUAAUAAUCAUAAUCUCCUUCAUAAUCAUGUAAAGUGCCAUCUUUUACUUCCAAUACUCUGUUAACAAUUUGUUUUAUGAAGUACCGAUCAUGAGAAACAGUUAUCACGGUGCCUUGAUACUCCGUAAUUGCCUCCUCAAGCAUCUCUUUCGUUGGUAUGUCCAAAUGAUUGGUUGGCUCAUCCAGUACUAGCAAAGUUGAAGGGGUCACCAUGAACUUACAGAAGGACAGACGUGCCUUCUCACCGCCACUCAAAAAGGAAACCUUCCUGUCAAGCAUGUCAGCUUUAAAAUUACAACGUCCAAGGAGUCCUUUUAUAUCAUCUAGUCUCCAAUCCUCAGCAGCUUCUGCUACAGUUUCAAGGACAGUUUUUUCCAAAUUGAGUGCUUCAGCCUGAUUCUGCUCAAAGUAAUUUGGUAAGACGUUGUGCUCCCCAAGCACAACUUCACCUCUUGUUGGCUUCAGUAAACCCAUAAUCAGUUUAAGAAAGGUGCUCUUUCCACACCCAUUAGGACCAAUAAUGGCAAUUUUUUCUCCUCUCUCAAUUGUCAAGUUUGCAUUCUUGAAAAGAACCUUAUCCUCGAAAGCAAAUUCCAGAUUUUUAACAUUCACAACUGUUCUCCCACUUCUUUCACGUUCUGGGAACCUAAUCUUCAUUUGUUUCCUUAUGAAUGGCUUAUCAAUUUGUUCCUGAUCCUGAAGUUUUUCCAGCUUCUUUUCAGCUGUAGAUGCACGACCCGAGUUUGCUCCUGCACUUAACCUACUUAUCAAAUCUCUCGUUUGCUCAAUUUCCUUCUGUUGCUUUUCCCAUGCAGCAUUCUGUGUUUCAAUCCAUUCAGCCCUUGAAAUAAUAUAAUCCGAGUAAUUUCCAUCAUAUGUCCUAGAUACACCCAUAUCAGUCUCCACAAUUUUUGUACACAACUGGUCAAGGAAAGCUCGGUCAUGAGAUAUAAUGACCAUCGGAACUUCUUGCUUAUUAAGAUAACCCUCAAGCCACUCAAUUGUAUCAAGGUCAAGAUGAUUGGUCGGUUCAUCCAGUAGUAACAAAUCUGGGUCCUGCAGCAAGAUCUUGCCCAGAGACAUCCGCAUUUGCCAGCCACCACUAAAUGAUGCCACAAGUCUAUCUGCAUCCUCUGGGGCAAAUCCUAGCUCGGGCAUCAUCUUGUUAAUCUUAACGUCCACCACAUCCAAAUCCACAGCUUGUGCCCUCCUCUGCAGCAAAUCAAACUCAUCCAACAGCCUCCCCAUCAACUCUAAAUCAUCAACAGAUUUCUCAAUUGCCUUCUGAACCUUAUCAAGUCUCUCAGCAACUUCCAUUUCCUCCUUAAAUGCACUCAUAAACUCUUCCUUCACAGUUCUUGUCGACUCAACCUCAAAUUCUUGGCUUAAAAAUGCAAUCUUCAUAUUAGGUUUUGCCUUAAUCAAAUUCCCAGAAUCUGGUUCUUCCAAACCAGAUAUAAUCCUCAAUUGGGUCGUUUUCCCUGCACCAUUUACACCUACUAAACCAACCUUUUCACCCUUUUUCACCUCCCAACUCACAUCUUUCAGCACCGUAACACCUUUAUAACUCUUACUAACAUUCUCUAGCCUAACCCCAGAUGAAAUACUCGAAGCCCCAUUACCUGAUUGUUUAUUACCCCUUCUGGAAUAAUUA